UGUUAAUCAGUUAAGUCAUCAAAAAUGUAAGAUUGCCUGUGAUUGGCACAAUCACUGAAAGCGUAAGUCGACCUAAGGUUAACUUCUCAGUUGAACAAGCCUCCUAUCGGCCUUAAAGAUCGAGGAUGGCCUCUAAUUGGUUAGUCUACUGGGUAAGCCUUUGAUUAAUAUUGUGAUCGAGCAAAAUAGCCUCUAUUAGCCAGACGAAAAAAUAAUCAUCAGAAAAUGCACAUACAAAAUACAUGGAUAGAAGCAGAAUAUUUUUUAUUAAAAUAUUUACAAAAAGUGAUGCUUCGGACAUCACUUCAAAAAAAAAAAGAGAGAAAGGAGAAGAGAAAGAAAAGAUAAAGGGAGCUCAAUCCUCAUCUGAGGAAAAAGUCCCCACCUUCUCAUCAUUAUUUUCGGAGAGGAGGUAGUGGAGAUCCAGUUGCGACAUCAUCUGCCACAGGUAGGUCAUACAGUCCUCAAAUUCGAGAAUAAAGGUGGUGGCGGCGAUGUUGGUGGCAUCCUUCUCAAACACCAUGGAGGCCUUGUAGUCCCUGAUGCAGUACUCUCGGAUCGCGUGGGGAAUCUGCUCAGCUUGGGGGGCACCCUUACUCUCGGAGGAUGAUAGAGAUUGCGAGGCAAACGGCACCCUACGAGAGGAGGACUGCCUGGGCCACCUUGCCCUUCUCUAAGUCUCCCUCUCAGCGGCCCUCCUCUCCUUGACCUGGUCCUUGAUAGCUCUCUUGGACAUCAUUAUGGUGACAAGAGAAAAGGAUAGUUCUCACAGAAGCUACGGAAAAGAAGGUGGAAGGUGAAGUUUUACCAACCAUCAACCUCUAUUUGUAGGCACCAGCGCCCACACCAACUAUCAAUCAAAUGCAGCCACCCUUUGAGCCAUAAAUGGUGCAUCUUCUUAACUCCGAAAGUUAAUUUGAGCAGCACUUCGUGAACUAGAAUACCGCCACGUAGAAUACUCUCACAAGCCCGACAUCUUUCCCCAAAUAUUACUUCAUUGGAAGAGGUGGUAGCUGUCAUUCCCCACAGCUGUCGUGCACCCUGGUCCAUUCUAACUUGAAUACAUUGGAAAUCAUGAAACGUUAGAGGACCAUCCAUAAUUAAUGCAUGAGAGACCUGAUGGAAAAGGUACUAAGGAGUCCUUGUCUGAAAUGUGAGGUCUCUUGUGCAAAGGUCGGUGACGACAUCAAACGCCACCCCAUGACAAAAGAAAAGACAACAC
rnacentral:lncRNA from 1 species